GAUGAACGCUAGCUACAGGCUUAACACAUGCAAGUCGAGGGGUAACGAGAGGAAAGCUUGCUUUCCUUGUCGACGACCGGCGCACGGGUGAGUAACGCGUAUCCAACCUGCCCCCAACUAAGGAAUAACCUUGCGAAAGUAAGACUAAUACCUUAUAAUUUCCUCAGAUGUCAUCUGACGAGGAAUAAAGAUUUAUCGGUUGUGGAUGGGGAUGCGUCUGAUUAGCUUGUUGGCGGGGUAACGGCCCACCAAGGCAACGAUCAGUAGGGGUUCUGAGAGGAAGGUCCCCCACAUUGGAACUGGGACACGGUCCAAACUCCUACGGGAGGCAGCAGUGAGGAAUAUUGGUCAAUGGGCGAAAGCCUGAACCAGCCAAGUAGCGUGCAGGAUGACGGCCCUAUGGGUUGUAAACUGCUUUUAUACAGGAAUAAAGUUAGCCACGUGUGGUUAUUUGUAGGUACUGUAUGAAUAAGGACCGGCUGAUUCCGUGCCAGCAGCCGCGGUAA
rnacentral:rRNA from 1 species